UACGUAGGGUGCAAGCGUUUGUCCGGAAUUAUUGGGCGUAAAGAGCUCGUAGGCGGCUUGUCACGUCGACUGUGAAAACCCGGGGCUCAACUCCGGGCCUGCAGUCGAUACGGGCUGGCUUGAGUGCGGUAGGGGAGACUGGAAUUCCUGGUGUAGCGGUGAAAUGCGCAGAUAUCAGGAGGAACACCGGUGGCGAAGGCGGUUCUCUGGGCAUUACCUGACGCUGAGGAGCGAAAGCGUGGGGAGCGAACAGG
rnacentral:rRNA from 1 species